AGUGAACGCUGGCGGUAGGCCUAACACAUGCAAGUCGAACGGCAGCACAGUGAGAGCUUGCUCUUACGGGUGGCGAGUGGCGGACGGGUGAGGAAUACAUCGGAAUCUACUUUUUCGUGGGGGAUAACGUAGGGAAACUUACGCUAAUACCGCAUACGACCUACGGGUGAAAGCAGGGGAUCUUCGGACCUUGCGCGAUUGAAUGAGCCGAUGUCGGAUUAGCUAGUUGGCGGGGUAAAGGCCCACCAAGGCGACGAUCCGUAGCUGGUCUGAGAGGAUGAUCAGCCACACUGGAACUGAGACACGGUCAAGACUCCUACGGGAGGCAGCAGUGGGGAAUAUUGGACAAUGGGCGCAAGCCUGAUCCAGCCAUACCGCGUGGGUGAAGAAGGCCUUCGGGUUGUAAAGCCCUUUUGUUGGGAAAGAAAAGCAGCAGGUUAAUACCCCGCUGUUCUGACGGUACCCAAAGAAUAAGCACCGGCUAACUUCGUG
rnacentral:rRNA from 1 species